rnacentral:sRNA from 1 species
AGGUGACGACGAGACCGGGCGGCGGCGGCGGCUGCGUUGCGAGUUGCGACGGGCGGCGGCAAAAGCGAGCAGCAAGGGCGCAGCCGCCGAACGGCCGAAGGCCGGCCGCAAGCGGCGGCACCGAUGCGGCGUGGGCACUGCCGCACUGGGUAGGCCAUAGGAAAGCAGCAGCAAGGCAGCAACUAGCAGAGCAGCAAGCGCUAGCGAUCCAGCCGAUCCAAAUCCAAGUGCCGAGCGCGCCAGCGCGAUUAGCGAUGGAGAAGAAAACAACAUUGUUAAACUUUCAACUGAUGAGAGUAAAAAUCAACCAAAAAGGCCUCAAAUAUUCAAAAAAAUUGAUGAUGAUGCAAUCAUGAAUAGAUUUCAAGCAUUGAAAACCCGCAGAAUAUCAUUGCCUCGUAAUUCAAUUGCAGGUGGCUGCUCACUUUAGAUGGUUGAUGCUUUGAUGCAAAUAUGCAAUCACUCAUUUCCCGUUGGCAAGAUUCGCCGCCACUGGUAAUUGAUAUCUCCGCCUAUGGAGCGUUUUGGGUUUGUGCAACAGGGUAAGGUUUUACGGUGGGCCCGUGCAACCAGGUUAGAUUAUGUAGUGCUGGUUUAAUUUUCCUUAAUUAUUCAACUAUUUUUGUAUUAUCAAUUGAUUAUCAAAUGCUAUUUGUUCAAAUUAGCCCUAGUAUACUCUCGUUUGUUAUAUGAUAUACACUUGCAUAUUUGGAUAUUUGUUAUAUUUGUUAUGUGGCUUGUUGAGUAUACAAUAUGCUCCUCUUAUAAUAAGCUACCAUAUGCUGUUCCUGGUUAAGCUGUCCAUAUAGUGGAGUCGUCGCUUAUGCUAGUUUUUUCCUUCCACUGCUUAGAACUCUUACGAUUGAGAGGUUAUCCACAUCUAUCAUAAUUAAACACUUAUACCUGUUGUUAAUAUUGUUUAUUACUUAUCUCGACUAAUUCCUGAACGAGAGUUAAAUAUACAUAUAAGUGUUUGAAAUUAUACAUAAAAAUUUCGGGAGUGAAAAGUUGAUAUGAGAGGCUCCUUGGCUUUAGCCUAAGCCAAAUGAAAAUAUAUAGAAGCCUUUCCAAAAAGAUUUGAAAAAUUAGGACCGCUUUUCUCCAUUCCUCUUUAAUAGUAUAUAUACAUCAUUUCUUUGAUUUCUUCUUUUUCUGAGAAAAUAUUCUAAAGAAAUAAAAUUUUGCAUUUUUCUUUUAUAAAUCUGGUGCCGCGCAUACUCUUUCCUUCUAAAUAGUAAUGUACUUCUUACUGUCCUGUUUAUGCUUUCUUAAAAAAUUAAUUAGAAAUUGGUACCGUACGAUCCUUAAUUUGCUUUUAGUAUUAUCACGUUCUUGAAAAAAGAACUUUUUUUUUGGUUUUGUACGUACAGUAAGACCCAUCGUUUCAAAAAAUCAACCAGUUUGAAAAGGACAAGAUUUAAUUUCUUUAAUCUGAAAAUGUUUUAUUCUGGAAAAGGAUUUAUUUUAUUCCGGAAAUUGAUUAUUUAAAAUCUGAAAAAUAAUUUAUUUCAAAAAAUAAGAAAACUUUAAAAGAUAUUUCUGAAUUUUGUUUGAUUUACUUUCGCUUUCUGGUUUUAGUUUUUAUUUUCACUAGUUUUCAGUUAUUUCUGUAUUUUCAGUUAACCUAACUCAAUCAAUGAGACUAUCCAUUUGUUCGAAGUUGGUGGUAUAGUUACGGAGCUGCACAUAGGAUUCAAGCUAACCCCAAGUAGAAACGCAUCACCCCUGCCCCUGACAUAAAUGAGAAGUGUCAUAUUCAUCGUCAAUAACUGUUAUGUUCGUCUGACGGCGACAAUUAAGUGAUCGUUAAGGCAUCUUGUUCAUGAUCUUCGAAACUGGAGGAAGGAACUUUUGCCCAUAUGUAUCAAGAGGUGGCAUUGGUGGCCAUCCGAGAACUUUGUCAUAGGUAUAGUGAGCUCUUGAGGGACACCUAUUAUUGUUACGAUCCAUCUAUGGCCCACAAUGAUGAGUACAACAAUUACUGGAACCAGAGACGGAGAACAAUUCUACUACUUCCUCCGUCCCAGAAUAUAGCAAUAUAGAACUAGAUGGGACAUCACCUAGUACCGUAUCUGGACAUGCUCUACUACUUCCUCCGUCCCAGAAUAUAGCAAUCUACAUGUCCAGUACAUCGUACUAGGUGAUGUCCAAUCUAGUUCUCGGUUGCUAUAUUUUGGGACGGACGGAGUAUGCAAUACUUUGUGAGGAUGUUGAGUGCAAUGGACAAUGGACUGAUGUAAUGAUAGGCUGAUAGCGGCUCAUGAAUAGGAGAAUUAAUGACAAGUGUAUCAAGAUCUGCAGAGGACAAAACCAGAUAGAUCACUUGAAGGAGGAGCUGGCACAACUGUAGGUAGAAGCAUCCCCUAGAGGAGCUAGCUAGGAUCCGCACCACGGAUAGGAAGGGUUCAUCUUCCUCCAUGCUUACAGCUGGCAUCAUUGCAUCAAGACCUGCGUGUUGAAUAACAAUAAUGUUCCACUUAGGAUCAUUUCCCCAUUUAUGCACAACAUUAAUUGUUGGUGAUGAAGAAGAAGAUUCCAAAUAGGCAAGAGGACGCUUAGCUUCAGAUGAGCCAUUCAGUUGUGGAAUUGGGUGAAACAGAGGAUGAAGAGAUGUCUCUCUAAGUAUGACUCAUAUUGAAGUCCUUCUCCUCGGUAGAACGUGUGCCUAGUAUGGUUGUGUUAGUUUGCCUGUUCGUGUGUGUGAGUUAGCAUGUGGACAAUAUCAGGGUUGUGAUAUAGCUAUAUGUAUUAAGUUGUUAAUUUGAGUGCGAGAGUUAAAUUAGAGUUUGAGUGUGUCUGAAUAGUUAAAUAGUAAAUUACUCCCUUUAAAACAACUAGGGAGGUAGCCUGCGCAUUCGCGCGGGCAUGUAUUAUAAAUUGUGUUUGAAAAACUUAUAUACGUGGAAUAUCAAUUGAAUGACACCUGCCAUAUUUC